rnacentral:tRNA from 1 species
AGUGUAGCUCAAUUGGUAGAGCACCGGUCUCCAAAACCGGGGGUUGCAGGUUCAAGUCCUGUCACUC